GGUAACCCAUGUACAGGAUAGGUGGGAGGCUUGGAAGCAGGGGCGUCAGCUCCUGUGGAGCCGCCGGUGGGAUACCACUCUUGGAUUGCUGAAUUUCUAACCUGCGGCCGUGAAUCCGGUCGGGGGACACUGUUAGGCGGGCAGUUUGACUGGGGCGGUCGCCUCCUAAAGAGUAACGGAGGCGCUCAAAGGUUGGCUCAGCACGGACGGAAAUCGUGCAGUGAGUGUAAACGUAGAAGCCAGCCUAACUGCGAGACCGACGGGUCGAGCAGUAACGAAAGUUGGAGUUAGUGAUCCGGUGGUAUGUGAGUGGAAAUGCCAUCGCUCAACGGAUAAAAGCUACCCUGGGGAUAACAGGCUGAUCUCCCCCAAGCGUCCACAGCGACGGGGAGGUUUGGCACCUCGAUGUCGGCUCGUCACAUCCUGGGGCUGUAUUCGGUCCCAAGGGUUCGGCUGUUCGCCGAUUAAAGUGGCACGCGAGCUGGGUUCAGAACGUCGUGAGACAGUUCGGUCCCUAUCUGUUGCGGGCGUAAGAGAUUUGAAGGGAGCUGUCCUUAGUACGAGAGGACCGGGAUGGACGUACCUCUGGUGCACCAGUUGUCCUGCCAAGGGCAUAGCUGGGUAGCUAAGUACGGACGAGAUAAACGCUGAAAGCAUCUAAGCGUGAAACUCCCCCUAAGAUGAGAUCUCUCACCUCGAAAGAGGGUAAGGGCCCAGGAAGACUACCUGGUAGAUAGGCCGGAGGUGGAAGUGCAGUAAUGUAUGGAGCUGACCGGUACUAAUCGCCCGAGGGCUUGACCUA
rnacentral:rRNA from 1 species